GCGGGGGUACUCGAGCGGUCAAAGAGGCAGGACUUAGGAUCCUGUGGUUAGUCCUUCAAGGGUUCAAAUCCCUUCCCCCGCA
rnacentral:tRNA from 1 species